GUGGGGAAUUUUGGACAAUGGGCGCAAGCCUGAUCCAGCAAUGACGCGUGCAGGAAGAAGGCCUUCGGGUUGUAAACUGCUUUUGUCAGGGAAGAAAUCUUCUGGGCUAAUACCCCGGGAGGAUGACGGUACCUGAAGAAUAAGCACCGGCUAACUACGUGCCAGCAGCCGCGGUAAUACGUAGGGUGCGAGCGUUAAUCGGAAUUACUGGGCGUAAAGCGUGCGCAGGCGGCUUUGCAAGACAGAUGUGAAAUCCCCGGGCUCAACCUGGGAACUGCAUUUGUGACUGCAAGGCUAGAGUACGGCAGAGGGGGAUGGAAUUCCGCGUGUAGCAGUGAAAUGCGUAGAUAUGCGGAGGAACACCAAUGGCGAAGGCAAUCCCCUGGGCCUGUACUGACGCUCAUGCACGAAAGCGUGGGGAGCAAACAGGAUUAGAUACCCCUGUAGUCC
rnacentral:rRNA from 1 species